rnacentral:misc_RNA from 1 species
AAAGUCGUAACAAGGUUUCCGUAGGUGAACCUGCGGAAGGAUCAUUAACUAAUGUGAGCGCAAGCUCAUAAAAAUGCCAGUGUUGUUUAUGUUAAAAAGCUCGAAAAAUAGUAUACAACUUUUAACAAUGGAUCUCUUGGCUCUU